rnacentral:rRNA from 1 species
GUCUACGGCCACACCUAGGCGAAAACACCAGUUCCCGUCCGAUCACUGCAGUUAAGCGUCUGAGGGCCUUGUUAGUACUAUGGUUGGAGACAACAUGGGAAUCCGGGGUGCUGUAGGCUUUC